rnacentral:tRNA from 1 species
GUUAGCUCAGCUGGUAGAGCAUUUGACUUUUAAUCAAAGGGUCACAGGUUCGAAUCCUGUA